AUACGGGAGGCAGCAGUGGGGAAUAUUGGGCAAUGGGGGAAACCCUGACCCAGCAACGCCGCGUGAGUGAAGAAGGCCUUCGGGUUGUAAAGCUCUGUCGCAGGGGACGAAGAAAGUGACGGUACCCUGUGAGGAAGCCCCGGCUAACUACGUGCCAGCAGCCGCGGUAAUACGUAGGGGGCGAGCGUUGUCCGGAAUUACUGGGCGUAAAGGGUGCGUAGGUGGCUUGUUAAGUUGGAUGUGAAAUCCCCGGGCUCAACUUGGGUGGUGCAUUCAAAACUGGCGAGCUAGAGUGCAGGAGAGGGAAGCGGAAUUCCUAGUGUAGCGGUGAAAUGCGUAGAUAUUAGGAGGAACACCAGUGGCGAAGGCGGCUUUCUGGACUGUAACUGACACUGAGGCACGAAAGCGUGGGGAGCAAACAGGAUUAGAUACCCCGGU
rnacentral:rRNA from 1 species